rnacentral:rRNA from 1 species
CUAUUAUUUUAAGUGUAAAAUUUUUGCCUGGGUAUUAUUAGUUAUGGUCUUUAAACCCAAAGAAUUUGGCGGUAUUUCAUUCCAUUCAGAGGAACCUGUCUCGUAAUUGAUAGUACACGAUUAACUUUACUUAAUUUAUUUGUUUGUAUAUCUCCGUUAUCAGAAAGUCUUUAUGGAGUUAAAAUUUUCUUGUUUUUUUAUUAAAGAUUAUUUCAGGUCAAGGUGCAGCUUAUAAUUAAGAGUGUGAUGGGUUACAAUAAAUUUUUUUAUUAUGAAUUUAAUAAUGAAGCAUUAUUAAUGAAGGUGGAUUUGAUAGUAAUUUAAUUUAUAUAAUUUAAUUGAUAUUGGCUCUGAGGUGUGUACA